rnacentral:lncRNA from 1 species
AUUCCAGGAUCCUGUUAACUUGGUAUCAUUGGCAACCAAGAUUCUCAAACAAUAGGAGAGACAUGCCAAAUACUUUGCUCUUAUUUGAACCAGUUACUUGAUGCCUGAUUCUGAUGUAGUCACUUAAAUUAUCUACCUCAGUUUGCUCAACCAAUAAAAGGACAUCAUGGCAAAAGCACCUAAUCCACAGAAUUUUUGGUACAUUGAAUGCUGGAUGCUGAGCUUUUCCUUUACACUAGCCUGGGUGCCUGUCAGGCCACCAUGGGGAUCGUCUUAACUGAGAUGGAAACUCCUGACACUGAAAGACUUCAUGGUAGAGUGACCCAUGGAAUAGAUGAUGAAGAAGAAGAAGAACCAAGAGCAGAGACAGUCCUGGCAGAAGGGGAGAUCUUGGCUGCUCUAUUGAAGCUGCUUUUCUGAAGAAGCCUACAGGAGAGACUCAACAAAGAGAGCCAAAGGCAGACCAGUUCUGUCUGGUCAAAAACUGGAGGCUCCUGUUUCCUCCUCUUGAGUAUUGUUCAAUGAGAGGGAGAUGGGAGAUCCUCAGAGCCCCUCAGGGAGCUGCCUGAGAAGGCCUGGGGAUUGUCUUCCCCCACAGCUGCCUCUCUUAGUGAUGUGAAAGGCUUAGGCCAGCCCAGCUAUAGAGCCUUUCUCUCAGUCCACAGAUACAUAUGGAUGGGCAGAAUCCUCUCCCAGGAUGCUCUGCUUGCUUAGAGGAACCUUACACAGCUGGAGUGUAGGAGAGUACAUGGCAGUCUUUGCUUGUGCUGGAAAAGAGAUAACAUUCAGCACAGCAGUGAUUCUGAGCCUGUCAGGAGAGUCCCAAAGAGGCACCCACCCAAGGAUGGUAGUUCCUGACCUUGCAGUUCCUGA